GCCCCGGUAGCUCAGGUAGGAUAGAGCAACUGCCUCCUAAGCAGUAGGUCAGCCGUUCGAGUCGGCUCCGGGGUACCU
rnacentral:tRNA from 1 species